CCGGAAGAUGCGUUAUCUAGUGGCGGACGGGUGAGUAACACGUGGGUAACCUGCCUUAUGGAGGGGGAUAACAGAGAGAAAUCACUGCUAAUACCGCAUAAGCACACAUUGCCGCAUGGCAGAGUGUGAAAAGAUUUAUCGCCAUAAGAUGGACCCGCGUCUGAUUAGCCAGUUGGCAGGGUAAAAGCCUACCAAAGCAACGAUCAGUAGCCGAUCUGAGAGGAUGACCGGCCACAUUGGGACUGAGACACGGCCCAAACUCCUACGGGAGGCAGCAG
rnacentral:rRNA from 3 species